rnacentral:lncRNA from 1 species
CCACAAGCCUGCAGGUAGGGUAUCCUGAGUUACCACUGGGGCUCAGAAAAGGUAAGUGAUUUGUCUGGGAUCACACAGCCCAUUUUGACCACAGAUCUUGUACCCCUAACAUACAUAUGUGAGAAGUCUUUCCCAUGAUCUCACCUCAGUUAUUCCUGAUGUAACAUGGUAGACAGUCGGGCCAUGAGUUGCGUACCUUCUUUUCACAUGGCAUUUUAUGCUAGGUUAUCCAAUUUCAUCUGUCUCACUCCAUCUGUUCAUCUACCUGACUCCCAUCCUAAGAACUCAAUGCCAAAUUCAAGAAGUCCUUUCUGGGAUUACAGAACCUGAAGUCUGUGGACAGGGAAUCUAGUUCACUCUUCCAUUAACUUGCUCUGUGACCUCAGAAAAAUUGCUCCCCUUCUAUGAGCCUCAGCUUUCACACCUUCAAAACAAGAGAACCAGACUGGAAGAUUUCUAAGGUCUUUCCAACCUCCAUCCCUUCUACUACAAGGGAAUAGAUGAUGAGGGCCUGAACUAUGCUCUUGCAUGCUAUCAAGGCCCAGGGUGAGAUGGGCAUACCCCUUUUGUACUGAAAUUGUGUGGGCCCCAAAGCUGAACAAGAAUGAAACUAUCCUGACAGGGACUAAAAGGCUGGGAACUCCCAGGCUAUAGCAGAAGCUGGAGGAUAGGGGUGAUGGUGGUGGGUGGUGUAGACAUGAUGAUCACACACACACACACACGCACGCACACACGCACACGCACCCCUGCCCCUAGGACCAGGGCAGAGAGAAAACGGUGGGGGAGCUACCAUCCAGUUGGAUGGACUGGAACUGGGGCCUACUCUCUUGGGCUUGGAGGAGAGUGAGAGGUAGGCUGGCUGCCCAGGUUCUGGCCCACAUUAGGCCAUGCAGUUGGCCAGCUUUCCUCCGUAUCAGUGUUGGGCUCGCAUAGGGCAGGGCAGGCAGGGAGGCUAGGGGCCUUGGGGUCCAUCUCCUCUGGGGUCUGAACCAUCCUCUAACUCUCAUGCUCCUGCUCUUCCUUUUCUGCUUUCUGGGCCUUCCCAAGCAUGGUAAAGAGUCAGGCUAGCCUGGGUUCCAAUCCUGGCUCUGCCACUCAUGUCCUGCCCAUGGCACCGUGGGCCAGGCUGAGAGUUUCCUCUUUGAUAAAACAGGGAUAACGGUAAUUCCAUAGGACUGUUGUGAGCAAUAAGUGAUAUAAGUGAUAUGUGCAUGUACGGCGUGGAGCAAAGCGCCUGCCCCUUAUUGGGGCUCAGUUCUGCCAUCCCUCACCUUCCCUUUCCUGUGGUGAAUCACUGCUUGCGGGCCCUGGGGACCCAGGAGUCCCCAGCUUGCCACAAACACUACCGUUGUCAUGGAAACCGGGCCUCCCCUUCCUCUCUCACUGAUUGAUUUCACCGCAGCUUCUCCCACAUUGUGUCUGGUUCCUAGAUCUCAGCUUUUGACUCACUGACUGACUUCACCGCCUCUCAUUUCAUGUCCUCAAGAGAAUAGCAGCCUCAUCAGGACCCCCAACCUCUCAGGUUGGCCCCUUUCCCAGGUGACCACCACUUCCUUCCCUGCCGUGUUAGGCUGGACAUCCCCUAGGAAAACAUCUUUCUGGGAGGGGUGAGCGAGAGUCUGCCCCCGAGCCCCAGGGCUUGGAACUUCACCCAGGCCUCAGGACCCCAUCUCUCCUGCCCCAGCUGAGAACCCUCAGCGCCUGGGCAUGAGAUGAGCAAGCGCAAGGGAGGUGGCCAAGGGGAGAGACCGACAGGCCCUGGCGCCACCUGCUGGCCCAGCGGAGACCAGCCCCACCUUCUCCUUCCCUGUGGGUGCAUCCAGGCUAGUCCUGAGUGGCAGGAGGCCCUGACUGUGUCCUUCCAGAGGAGACAUUCCACAUCAUUCAUUCAUUCACAGAUAUUUACUCAGUACCAUCUGGGUGCCAAAGACAGCUUUCAUCUUCAUGGAUAAAGUAAUUAAUGUGUGAUGAGUGCCUCCAAACGCUGGGGAGCAGAAAACCCGGCACCUAACCCGGUCUGCGGUUGUGUGGCAGGCCUGCCUGAGGAAGGGAUGAUUAAGCUGAGUCCUGGAUAAUAAUCACCAACAUUUAUUAAGCACUUUCUGUGUACUAGACAGUAUGUCAGUACUUUACAUGCCUCUUCCCACUAAUUGCACAACAAUCCCAUGAGGUAAUUGCUACUAUUAGCUUCACUUUAUAGAUGGGAAAACAGGUUCAGAGAUGUGCGGUAAUUUGCAUAGGGCUCACAGGUAAUACACAGUGCACUGCCACCCACCUACAGGAUCCUGCUUGAAUAGCCAGUCAGAAAGGGAGAAGCAAGUGUGUUCCAG